CUUCGAGGUUAGUGGCGGACGGGCUGAAGUAACGCGUGGGAAUCUGCCCUCAGGAGGGGGAUAACGGCUGGAAACGGCCGCUAAUACCCCAUAUGCCGAGAGGUGAAAUGAGUUUCGCCUGAGGAUGAGCCCGCGUCUGAUUAGCUUGUUGGUGAGGUAAUGGCUCACCAAGGCUUCGAUCAGUAGCUGGUCUGAGAGGAUGAUCAGCCACACUGGGACUGAGACACGGCCCAGACUCCUACGGGAGGCAGCAGUGGGGAAUUUUCCGCAAUGGGCGAAAGCCUGACGGAGCAACGCCGCGUGAGGGAUGAAGGCCUCUGGGCUGUAAACCCCUUUUCUCAAGGAAGAAGAUCUGACGGUACUUGAGGAAUAAGCCACGGCUAAUUCCGUGCCAGCAGCCGCGGUAAUACGGGAGUGGCAAGCGUUAUCCGGAAUUAUUGGGCGUAAAGCGUCCGCAGGCGGCCUUUCAAGUCUGCUGUUAAAACGUGGAGCUUAACUCCAUCAAGGCAGUGGAAACUGUUGGGCUUGAGUGUGGUAGGGGCAGAGGGAAUUCCCGGUGUAGCGGUGAAAUGCGUAGAUAUCGGGAAGAACACCAGUGGCGAAGGCGCUCUGCUGGGCCAUAACUGACGCUCAUGGACGAAAGCCAGGGGAGCGAAAGGGAUUAGAUACCCCUGUAGUCCUGGCCGUAAACGAUGAACACUAGGUGUCGGGGGAAUCGACCCCCUCGGUGUCGUAGCCAACGCGUUAAGUGUUCCGCCUGGGGAGUACGCACGCAAGUGUGAAACUCAAAGGAAUUGACGGGGGCCCGCACAAGCGGUGGAGUAUGUGGUUUAAUUCGAUGCAACGCGAAGAACCUUACCAGGUUUUGACAUCCUGCGA
rnacentral:rRNA from 1 species